ACGGUCAAAUCAUUUAACAAUGACCGGUUCUCGUUCGAUCACCGAAGUUAAGCAUCGUAUAGCCAGGUAUAUACUUAGAUGGGGACCAAUUGGGAACACCUGGU